GGUAGUCCUGGGACAUGGUCCUAGGGCCCAGGCCAGUUGAAACUGGAGCAGCAGCACGGCCAGGUGGACUGGGGACAGCAAGGAGUCAUCACGCCAGGUAGUCCUGGGACAUGGUCCUAGGGCCCAGGCCAGUUGAAACUGGAGCAGCAGCACGGCCAGGUGGACUGGGGACAGCAAGGAGUCAUCACGCCAGGUAGUCCUGGGACAUGGUCCUAGGGCCCAGGCCAGUUGAAACUGGAGCAGCAGCACGGCCAGGUGGACUGGGGACAGCAAGGAGUCAUCACGCCAGGUAGUCCUGGGACAUGGUCCUAGGGCCCAGGCCAGUUGAAACUGGAGCAGCAGCACGGCCAGGUGGACUGGGGACAGCAAGGAGUCAUCACGCCAGGUAGUCCUGGGACAUGGUCCUAGGGCCCAGGCCAGUUGAAA